CAUGCAAGUCGAACGGUAACAGGUCUUCGGACGCUGACGAGUGGCGAACGGGUGAGUAAUACAUCGGAACGUGCCCAGUCGUGGGGGAUAACUACUCGAAAGAGUAGCUAAUACCGCAUACGAUCUGAGGAUGAAAGCGGGGGACCUUCGGGCCUCGCGCGAUUGGAGCGGCCGAUGGCAGAUUAGGUAGUUGGUGGGAUAAAAGCUUACCAAGCCGACGAUCUGUAGCUGGUCUGAGAGGACGACCAGCCACACUGGGACUGAGACACGGCCCAGACUCCUACGGGAGGCAGCAGUGGGGAAUUUUGGACAAUGGGCGAAAGCCUGAUCCAGCAAUGCCGCGUGCAGGAUGAAGGCCUUCGGGUUGUAAACUGCUUUUGUACGGAACGAAAAAGCUUCUCCUAAUACGAGAGGCCCAUGACGGUACCGUAAGAAUAAGCACCGGCUAACUACGUGCCAGCAGCCGCGGUAAUACGUAGGGUGCGAGCGUUAAUCGGAAUUACUGGGCGUAAAGCGUGCGCAGGCGGUUAUGUAAGACAGAUGUGAAAUCCCCGGGCUCAACCUGGGAACUGCAUUUGUGACUGCAUGGCUAGAGUACGGUAGAGGGGGAUGGAAUUCCGCGUGUAGCAGUGAAAUGCGUAGAUAUGCGGAGGAACACCGAUGGCGAAGGCAAUCCCCUGGACCUGUACUGACGCUCAUGCACGAAAGCGUGGGGAGCAAACAGGAUUAGAUACCCCUGGUAGUCCACGCCCCUAAACGAUGUCAACUGGUUGUUGG
rnacentral:rRNA from 1 species